UCAGAGGAUGUGGUUUUUAGUACGAGAGGGCAAGGGGAAGAGAGAGGGGGAGGAAGGGAGGAGUCUGUUCUCUCUCUCUGUCUCUCUGUCUCUCGCAGGAACCAGAACAGAUGAAUGACAGGUGAGUGGAGGGAGAGGGAGGGAGAGAGGACUGCGGUUAGGAUCCAGUUGUUAUUUUAACUUGUGUCUUGCGAGGAUGUUCUGUGUGUUGGAGACGAUGCUUUGAUGAGAGAGAAAGCCAGGGAUGAUGGAGAGAGAUGAGACUGAAGGCUACACUCGGACUUCCUGGUCUGAUGUACAGAGGGCUACCCACUCCACCAGCCCCCCAGACCAUGCAGGAAAAAAGAGGAAGCAGGAUCCUGGUUCUGAGAGCGUCGUCAGAACCACAGAGGACCGAGAUGACGAGGAUGAUGAUGAUGACGACGACGAUAUGAUGUCAGACCUGAUGAAGGACUCUGAGG
rnacentral:lncRNA from 1 species